GACAGAGGGUGCAAACGUUGUUCGGAAUUACUGGGCGUAAAGCGCGUGUAGGCGGCUUGGCAAGUCGGAUGUGAAAGCCCUGGGCUCAACCUAGGAAGUGCAUUCGAAACUGCGGGGCUGGAGUCCUGGAGAGGAAGGCGGAAUUCUCGGUGUAGAGGUGAAAUUCGUAGAUAUCGAGAGGAACACCGGUGGCGAAGGCGGCCUUCUGGACAGUGACUGACGCUGAGACGCGAAAGCGUGGGGAGCAACAGG
rnacentral:rRNA from 1 species